GGCUUUCGCGUCCACCAGGAGAUUCCUUCCUAUCUUAAAAAUGGAAAAACUAUAAAGCACGGACAUUGACGUAGAGACCCUUGGAGCCUUGUUCUGUAAGCCUUUGCAGCGCGACGUUCGGAGCAGUUUCAGUGGCAGGGGAUUGCUGAGACUACUUGCCUGAGAAUCUGGAAACUGAGUCCCCACCUAGGUCCCCAAAAUGAGAAGCUGCGCAAAAGCGCGCCCACUGUUCUCCCGCCUCUAGUGCUCAGGCCCGGAAGUCCCGCACUGAGUUCUAGCAGAACCUUCCAGGACACUGCCUGGGGAUGCCUUCCUAACCACUCCCUCUCCCUGCUGGCACGGACUGAUCCUGUCCCCCCUAUGCACAGCUGGGAUCCUGGCGGUAAUCGGCCGAUUCCAAGACCCAACGACGCAGCAGAUCGUGACAGCAAGGCUAACCCUUCCCAGGAUUGCUGGAGGAAAACCGUCCCAAACCCUAGCCGCUCCAAACCCGCACCGCAAACCGCGGACGGUGCUCGGUGAGCCCGGGGCUGGUACCUGUCCCAGAAGUUCUGCCCUCUGGUGGAGAUGAUGCAGGAACUAUGAACAUGAACCAGCUAAGUAGAUUCUCCAUGGUGUUCCUUGCUGAGUUCCUAAGGCUGACUGCACCGAGAAGGCGAAUACCCCCUCCUCAUAGCUGCAGCUGCCGUGAGUACCAGAACCAGCAGUUGAGAGUCCCGGAGCAGAUGGAAGCGAUGUGUGAAAAGGGGCAGGUGCCUGGCUAACUGACUAACUCGAAUGGCUGGGUGAACACAUGGAGCCCAGGACACCGCCUCUUCCUUACAUUACUGUUAGACAAGAAAAAAAGCUUUCUUGUCACUGUCACAACUGCUUCGCCUUUCACUCUAAAACAUUUAUCCUCAACACUGCAUUCACACAUACUAUGUAGUCUCGACAACUGAGUUCCAUAAUGUUUAAGUGCUCCUUAUAUUUAACUAUUUACUAUCUCUCUAUCCUGCAAGUCUUUACAUGAAACAUCCUUUUAUUCACAUCUCCUACUUCAAUUUGAGACAGUAAUUGUAAAUUCAAAGGAGAAUAAAGGCAGAGAAAACCCACUGCAGGAACCAUGACUACAGGGUAGCCCUCCACUUGUCACUGCACACUCCUGCCAUGCACUGGAGGUUAACGAAAAGGAGGGAAGCACUGAACUUGUAUCACAUCUUCCUGAUGCUCAAAGUCCUCCCACUUCUCAGAACUCCACUGACAGUAUGUGAGUCUCCUGCUCUGACCCCAAACUAUACAUGUCUUCCUCAAAUUCUUCAUCUGACCUUGCCAUCUGACCUAUCAGUCUGCAAUGCCUUCCCCCAGUAAGAACUGACAGGAGUCAUGAAGUAGGAAUCACUUAGUUCCCCUAUUUCGUUUACAAUUAUUUGUAUAAAAUAUUAUUAUUAGAAUUCUUUAAUAUUCUCAAUCUCCACUUCAACAAUUGAUGUCAGAGCCAUGGCUUCACGAGCUACUCCAGCUUCCUGCCUUAUGUCUGUAGCUACCUACGCCAAGACAAGUCCUUAGGGGCUGUGCAAGAGAGACAACAAACAGCUUUAGAGCUCAUGGGAUGAGGCCUACCAGUCAGGUAAUCGAGAUGGGGACACACCUCAGAGAGGAAGAAACCUGAGGACUUCAUAUUGUUGUGGAGUUUUGCUUUGCUUGUUGUCCUCAAGUCCCUCCUAAUCUAUGAGUUCUAUGAAAACUCUAAGGGGUUUGUUUUCCAGCCCCUCGUUGGCACUAACAAUAGUGAUUGAUCUUUUUCAAGCAUCACUGCUGGAGCAGAUUAAUGAUUCAUCUACCACCCUCAGAAAAAAACUUAAGAGAUGUACAUAGUUAGCAAUGACCACCACCCUUAGAAGUUAAAGAUGCAGGCUGUUAGUAAAGUUAGGUUGUUUUGUCACUGGCUCUAUUGUAGAAAAUCUUAGGGAACAUUUUUAAGCUCACACUCUUUAUAGUUGAGCUAGGGAUUUUCCGAGGUCAGGGAACAAGAACAAUGGCAGCCCAACUAGUUCCAACUGUUAUGCUUUCUUGUUAAAGCUGGGCUAGUAAUCAAAAUGAUGAAUAAUUUUUUGUACCCGUUUUUGCCCUCAGCUUCCUGAUAUGAUUUAAUAAAAAACUGUUAAUGAGUAAAAUGUACCCUGAGGAUUUAAAAUAGAUAUGGCUGUUUACUAUA